UACGGCGUAUAUGCUUGAGAGGAGCUUCUUGACUUCUAUUAACUUGUAGCACUGUACCUCACAUGUUGAGUAACAUCCUCAGCUUGUCAUCUGUUAAAAAAAGGAACAGUUAGGCAUGGCAGACAUGAGGAAUACCAGGCUAUCAUUGGAAAAAUAUCUGUUUCAUUGUGCCUUCCAUCUUUUGUUAAAUAAUGCGGCAAACCUUCCCAGGUGCAUGUCACAGACUUGUAGUUCAGAUUAUGCACUGGACACAUGCCAUAAGGAGGUUAAAAAUCUAAUUUUCGCAUGACCAAUGCUUUCUCUCUAAGUGUUGGUAGGUCUAAACUUGGUUUAGUUGAGUUUGUUCUGUGUGAGUUGUUUCUCCUUUGCUAGUUGAUGUUUCGCAUGCUAAACUGUAAAACUGGUAACCCCAGUGUUAGAUCUUGGGCUUUCAACCGUGUGAAUGCCUUUGAUCGAAAAACAUGCCAUGGGGCUGAUAGUCAUGGCACGAUUACCAUACCAACACGUAAGCACGGAUGACAAGGGCCAGUGCGAGUAAUGAUGGGAGAGCGCAGAAGCACGUACAAGACAGUGGCGUGUACAUGCAAUGUGGAAGUUUUGGGACACUGUUUUUUUUGCUUAUGCAUUGGGCUAUAGUGAGUUGGACAGAAUAUGUCAAAAUAAUGUAGUGACUAAAGGUUUCGAUAAUGGGUAGUAGAGUGGGUGGAGCCAGGGGUGGUGGUGGGGGGAGGGUUGUUUGGGAGUGGCUUCAGAGCCCAGCCUCAAGUUGUAAAGAACCGAGAAUAAUGCAUUAGUCAUUUGUAUAAUCAAUUUACUUUCUACUUGGCGGCACCCAUAUAUGGUUACUAUCACGGCAGU
rnacentral:lncRNA from 1 species